GGUUCAGGAUGAACGCUGGCGGCGUGCCUAACACAUGCAAGUCGAACGGGGCAUCAGCGCUGACGAGACUUCGGUCAAAUCUUGUUGAUGCUUAGUGGCGGACGGGUGAGUAACGCGUGGGCAACCUGCCUCACACUGGGGGAUAGCAGCUGGAAACGGCUGGUAAUACCGCAUAAGCGCACAGUACCGCAUGGUACAGUGUGAAAAACUCCGGUGGUGUGAGAUGGGCCCGCGUCCGAUUAGCCAGUUGGCGGGGUAACGGCCCACCAAAGCGACGAUCGGUAGCCGGCCUGAGAGGGCGGACGGCCACAUUGGGACUGAGACACGGCCCAGACUCCUACGGGAGGCAGCAGUGGGGGAUAUUGCACAAUGGGGGAAACCCUGAUGCAGCGACGCCGCGUGGGUGAAGAAGUAUUUCGGUAUGUAAAGCCCUAUCAGCAGGGACGAUAAUGACGGUACCUGAGUAAGAAGCCCCGGCUAACUACGUGCCAGCCGCCGC
rnacentral:rRNA from 1 species